UACAGAGGGGGCAAGCGUUGUUCGGAAUUACUGGGCGUAAAGGGCGCGUAGGCGGCCUUCUAAGUCGAACGUGAAAUCCCCGGGCUCAACCCGGGAACUGCGUCCGAUACUGGAAGGCUUGAAUCCGGAAGAGGGAUGCGGAAUUCCAGGUGUAGCGGUGAAAUGCGUAGAUAUCUGGAGGAACACCGGUGGCGAAGGCGGCAUCCUGGACCGGUAUUGACGCUGAGGCGCGAAAGCCAGGGGAGCAAAGCGGG
rnacentral:rRNA from 1 species